CUGCUGCCUCCCGUAGAAGUUUGAGCCAUAUCUCAGUCCCAAUGUGGCCGUUCACCCUCUCAGGCCGGCUACUGAUCGUUGCCUUGGUAGGCCAUUACCCCACCAACUAGCUAAUCAGACGCGGAACCAUCGUAUACCACCAGAGUUUUUCACACCGCUUCAUGCGAAGCUGUGCGCUUAUGCGGUAUUAGCACCUAUUUCUAAGUGUUAUCCCCCAGUAUACGGCAGGUUUUCCACGCGUUACUCACCCGUCCG
rnacentral:rRNA from 1 species